rnacentral:piRNA from 1 species
UCCAGGGAGAUGACCCUCAGCAAUUUGUGGU